AUUGCAUGGACCACCACACAGAGGAGAUAAGAACCUGCAUUAAUCUUAUGACUGUGUUUGCUGGUUCUCACCUGUGCUGAGACCAGGCAGCAGCUGCUGAAUUUGCUUCCAAGCCUUGUUUUCUGAUUCCAAACUUAAGAGUGGGCUCCAGGUGGCAGCACGGACACCGUUUCCAGAGCCGGCAGAACGGAGACCUGCUCAUUCCAGAAACACAAGAUUGGCAGAGAAUCCCUGGGUUCUGAAACCCUCCAUCUGCAGCUUCAGGAAAGGCACUGCUAGCAGUGGCUUAGAACUGAGGAUUCUUGGGACCAGCUGAAGGACUCUUCUAAUGAGCAUGUCCGAGUAUGCACCUUGUGCUGUCCCUGCUCCCAUGUCCUUGCUCUCCAACAGCCAGGGCACCAGAAAAUCCCUGCUGCACUCAAUCAAAACCCACCAAGCAGCUGGUGAUAAGUGACAGCUAAAACAACAGAAAAUGAUCAAGAGCAUGGGUAAAACAGCGCUUUUGAUCAACCUCGUUUUUAGUAAAGGAAGAUAAGAGAUUGUGGCUGGAUUUGGAUGUAGAUAAUUGCAGAGGUGUUAAAAAUAACUACACAUGUUUGAGUCAUUUUGAAGUAGCAAUUUCCCAGAUGUAUACAGAAGAACAAUUAGCUUGCACAAAAUGACUGUAAGUCAUUCUGGUUUGUGGUAGCAGGGCAUCAGCAACUGUGGGAAGGCAACAGUUAAAACCAGAUUUGUCAAGGAGGGAAUUUUCACUCAAAGUGAUUUUGCAGCUGGUAAUGCUAAGAAUGCUGGUGUGGGAAAACUCCCAUUCUUAUGCCUGGAAUUGUUCAUCCUCUGCCUGUUUUGAGAAGCAGAAUUCCUGUGCAGAGAUAAUACACUCACAGACAUGCUUGAGCCUCCUGCUGGAGGCUCAAAAAGCACAGCCUUUUGAAACCCAUAAACCGUGUGUGCCUAAAGCCCUUUGGUAUAUUGGGACAGGCAGAGGAGGCCCUUUCACCCCCCACAGUCACUAGGAAGAACGAAGCCUAAGGAAGCCUGUGUCCCUGUGUGUCUCUGUGGCCCAGUGUUGUUAGUGAAGUUAUGAAAUAAAUCUACUCUUAGCAUCUCAGCUGUGGCUUGGUGGUCACAUUGUUUGUGUCGACUCACAUGGUGACCUAAGAAAUUGUACCAGCUUUGUCUUCCUAAGGGGAUCAAAAGUGAAAUCAGCCCAGUUUCCUUAUGUUGUAAAGACAGAUUAUGUGGAUAUAUCUGCCGUGCUGUAAUUUGUAUCCCACAAAUGGCCAACCACUCUGAAAUUUCUAAAGGGAGUGCUGAAUAUUGCAUGGUCAUUGACCAGAAGAAAAAUGAGCUAACUUUUUCAAAAGCUAAAUGUCUGUGAGUUACUGCCUUGCUACAUAGACAUGAUUGUCCUGGGCAAAAAUAUCUGGGUGCCUGCUCUUGCUUUGAGCCAAACGUCAGGGAAAACACAUUUUGUACAUCUCAUGUACAAGCCCAUGGUUAACAACCACAGUCAGGAUGCUGACAGCUCCCUGGGGCUAGGGGUUAUGGGGGCUCAGUCCUGAGGCUGCUUAAAUAAGACCCCCACCAAAAGAAAAAUUUCUUCAACGUGGGAAUGGUAUAUUC